rnacentral:rRNA from 1 species
AUUGAACGCUGGCGGCAGGCUUAACACAUGCAAGUCGAGCGGGGUGAUGGUGCUUGCACUAUCACUUAGCGGCGGACGGGUGAGUAAUGCUUAGGAAUCUGCCUAUUAGUGGGGGACAACAUCUCGAAAGGAAUGCUAAUACCGCAUACGUCCUACGGGAGAAAGCAGGGGAUCACUUGUGACCUUGCGCUAAUAGAUGAGCCUAAGUCGGAUUAGCUAGUUGGUGGGGUAAAGGCCUACCAAGGCGACGAUCUGUAGCGGGCCUGAGAGGAUGAUCCGCCACAUUGGGACUGGGACACGGCCCAGACUCCUACGGGAGGCAGCAGUGGGGAUUAUUGGACAAUGGGGGGAACCCUGAUCCAGCCAUGCCGCGUGUGUGAAGAAGGCCUUAUGGUUGUAAAGCACUUUAAGCGAGGAGGAGGCUCUUUUGGUUAAUACCCAAGAUGAGUGGACGUUACUCGCAGAAUAAGAACCGGCUAACUCUGUGCCAGCAGCCGCCGUAA